rnacentral:rRNA from 1 species
AGAGUUUGAUCCUGGCUCAGGACGAACGCUGGCGGCGUGCUUAACACAUGCAAGUCGAACGGAGAUUAGUUGAGAGUUUACUUUCGACUAAUUUUAGUGGCGGACGGGUGAGUAACGCGUGGAUAACCUACCCCAUAGUCUGGGAUAACGCCGGGAAACCGGUGCUAAUACCGGAUACGUUCGUCGAAUCGCAUGAUACGAUGAAGAAAGGUGCAAACCACUAUCGGAUGGAUCCGCGUCCCAUUAGCUAGUUGGUAGGGUAACGGCCUACCAAGGCCUCGAUGGGUAGCCGGCCUGAGAGGGCGACCGGCCACACUGGAACUGAGACACGGUCCAGACUCCUACGGGAGGCAGCAGUGGGGAAUCUUCCGCAAUGGGCGCAAGCCUGACGGAGCAACGCCGCGUGAGUGAAGAAGGUUUUCGGAUUGUAAAACUCUGUCCAAAGGGAAGAAGCAAGUGACGGUACCUUUGGAGGAAGCCCCGGCUAACUACGUGCCAGCAGCCGCGGUAAAACGUAGGGGGCAAGCGUUGUCCGGAAUUACUGGGCGUAAAGGGCGUGUAGGCGGCUAAUCAAGUCAGUCGUGAAACCCACCGGCUUAACUGGUGGCCUGCGAUUGAAACUGAUCGGCUUGAGUGCAGUAGAGGGGAGUGGAAUUCCCAGUGUAGCGGUGAAAUGCGUAGAUAUUGGGAGGAACACCAGUGGCGAAAGCGGCUCCCUGGCCUGUAACUGACGCUGAGGCGCGAAAGCGUGGGUAGCAAACAGGAUUAGAUACCCUGGUAGUCCACGCCGUAAACGAUGGGUGCUAGGUGUUGGGGGUAUCGACCCCCCCAGUGCUGCAGUUAACGCACUAAGCACCCCGCCUGGGGAGUACGGCCGCAAGGCUGAAACUCAAAUGAAUUGACGG